UUGAUAUCAGGAAGUGAACAAAGUUGCCGAUAUGGUGCGAUAAUGAUCGAUUGAACUUACUUCUCGAGCAUUGUAGUCAUGGCCACAUACUCCUCGGGGUAAAAAAGUGAAAGCUGCGCACGCAUGCAUAACUGAUCAAUUGUAAGUAUAGUGGGGUUUUACGCCCAAACUGCGAGUGUCGUGUUCUUCACAAGGACUAGGCAACGGCUAACUACGUUCGACUAAAGCUAGGUGACCCAAUUGAAUGAUGAAAACAGAAAAUAAACCUAACACCAACAAGGAUCAUCAACAAAGAAAAUGACAAAGAAGCAAAGGGAGAUGAAGAUUAUUUUUAAUCUGUCUUUUUAGUAUUUUUGUAUUACUUGAGAAUCUACAAUACUAACACAAACAGGAGUCAAUAUCAAUUAAAGCUACAAGACAAGGACACAUCACUAUCAAACAUAAACAGAGGGAAGAAGCGAGAAUAUAUGACAAAAUAUAAUUGUUUCAAAUCAAACACACACACACAUUUAUAUAUCACAGGUACAUAGCUAAUACAGGGACUACAGAACACACAAAACCACACAUAUGCGAACAGGAUACUACACCACGGUUCAGGUUACACAAGUGACAACAGAAACGAAAUCUUACAAGCCACAAGAUUAGUACCCACAGAUCAACACGACAGUAUUUAACAACUAAAAAUUACUAGUAGAAAUUAACUAGUACAGCGAGAAGAAAUACAGAGUGAACACACGUAUAUGCUGACAGAACACUAAUUACCAAAGCAACAAAAUAUUACUCCCUCCGUUCCAAAAUAGAUGACUCAACUUUAUACUAACUUUAGUACAAAGUUAGUAUAAAGUUGAGUCAUCUAUUUUGGAACGGAGAGAGUACAUAUUAGUUAGUUCCCAAAGCAACAAGAAAUCCACUAUUCAGAACAUAGAAUUUAUGACAUGAUAUUUAACAAGUACGAACUGAACAAACUAGUUGGUUGCAAACACUUAUCAGAAUCUGAACCUUACAAGUACUACACAUCUCCAAUUACAGAAAAUUCAGAGAGAGAGAUAAGCAGCAGCAAAAGGUUCAGAGAAGAGGCAGGGAGCAGCAAGGAAGGCGAAGGGAGCAGGAAGUCGCAAGAAUAAGCAGCGGUAACGUGGGGAUGGAGAGAGGAGGAGGAGGAGUAGCAGGGGCGCAAGAAGAAGGGAGCAGCAGUGGGGCUUGGAGAAGAGGAGAAGCGGGACAAGGGAAGAAGAAGAAGCAGUAGGGAUGGGGAAGAAGAUUAGGAGGAGGAGCGGAGAGAUGAGCAGCAGCGGUAGGGGAGGAAGAGAGAAGGCGCAGCAGCAGGUGAGGGAGAUUCAGAGCAGCAGCAAGGCGAUGGAGAGAGGGAGUAGUAGUAGCAGGAGGUCGAGGGGAAGAAGAAGCAGGGCGAGGCAGGGUCGCGCGGGCUGGAGGGAGGCGUUGGAUGUGGUUGGUGCUGUGGCAGCGGCGCGGUGGUGUUGGAGGUGGUGAUGCGGCGGCUGGUAGAGAGGGCACGGUGGAUGGCUGGAAGGCGCACCGCCACGCCGGCCUGGCCGCGGCGGCGGCCGGUGGUGGAGAAGGAGACGGGGGAAGGAGAGGUGUUGCCAGGCCCGAUGGGGAAUGGAGGGUGCUAGGGAUUUUGAUCCCCUCACGGCUGAUCUGGACAUUUUCACAUUGACCCUCCUGCUUUCGUCUUUAUUCACAAGAAGAUCCCUUCUCUUCUUUAGUUUUUGCCCCUGGUAACUUCUUUUCUUCUCGCUCGGGUCCUUGACUCCAUCACUUGAUCAUUUGUAGUAGAAGGAUUUUGUGCCUUGUCGCACUUUUCUGCAAAAUAAACAAGUGACUAGUCAACAAUCCUUUUAUAUGAUUUUCAUUCAAUUAUUCCAUAUUUAAAACAAGAAUUGGUGGUCAGAACUCAACAAAUGGUAUAUUUGUAUGCCAAAAUUAUGUAUAAGAAAUGUGCUUAUCAAGUUCCCCCACACUUAAAUCUUUGCUUGUCCUCAAGCAAAGGCAUAUGAGCAAGAACAUGAACAGUGAACUGACUAGAGAAUGUCAAGUGAAGUAGAUCUCUAAACAGUGCAUGCUUUGGACUUGGCUAGUGAAAAUUAAUGGUUAAGAGUGCUACAUAUCAUUGGGACACUAGUAAACUCGACCAUUUUAAACUUUUGCAAUGAUAAACGAAGAUUAGCAAGUUCAAAUGCUGACUGUGCCAAAAGGUUCCUAAAGAGAGCAUGAUCCUGAGAACAAAAGGAACUUGAAUUAAAUCACUUAUUUGCAGAAAUAUAACAUUGUGGUUGAACCACUUAUUAAAUUUGAAGGAAGUAAUGAUAAUAUUUUAUCAGUCUCACCAAAGGAACAUACCACCGAUCCCGAGAACUUGGUAUACACCUGACUCGACCAAUUAUUAGUUUUUUUUAGUUUGACUCCCCAAAGGAACAUACCACCGAUCCCGAGAACAUGGUAUACACCUGGUCUGACAAUUACAUUUUUAUUUAUUUAUUACUGUCCAAGCUACCAGAUUUCACAUGCCACUGAUCCAGGGAACAUGACAUGCUACUGUAGGUAGACCAGACUUAUUCAUUAUAAGAUUUCCUUUUUUUUACUUUCCAAAUUAACAAAAACAAGAAUCAUCACUCAUCCAUGUCUGGUUCACAUACUACCGAUCCAGGGAACAUAGCAUGCUAAUCCAUAGUGGUAAGUUAUUGCUCUGACUGGGAACACAAUAGGCACAAACUCAGCAUCUGACACUUAAUGAUCUAGGUGUAUCAAGGUAAAAGCAGAAAAUGAAUAAGUUUUCUAGUGUACUAGGGAUUUGAGCACUCAAAACUAAUAGUUCUCACUAAUUUCAGCAAAGCACGCAAUAUGUAGAUCACUAGUUUACAUGGCAUUCAACAAUCAGUUCACAUAUUCUCAUCAAGCACCAUAUGUCAAAUAAAAUUCAGUGGGGCAACAUUUAAGAAAUGGCUUAAUAAGCAACCCAAAUAACAUUUGAUUUCAGCAUGUAUCAAUGGAUGAUAUACUCGGAAUGGAUCAUGAAACAGCUCACCGGGCACUAUGAAGUAGCACUCGCUUGAUCACUCUCUAAGCUGCUGCUCUUCUCCUUUGCUUCCUCAUGGAUGCUCCAGCUUCACUCUUCUUCGUGUGUGCCCCCUUGCUUCUCCUCAUCCCCAUGCUCUGAGUCCACCAGGGUCCCAAGGAAUGUCACCUCGAACCUGGUCAGCAUGUAUUGAUUCGUGCACAAGCAAAAACCUGAAAAGGCACUCAACCAAAGAGACAAUACGAGUGACAGGAGUAAUGCCCUCUAAAUCAUCAAUAGAGUACCCAAUUACAUAAGCAUACCUAUAAAGCACAUGUUUAGGAUGGUAGAAAUCAGUAAGCUCAAUGCUAGCACAAGGAUGAUAUUUAUCAUUAAGCAUAGGUCUAGCAUGAGGAGAAUAAGUGUCAUCAUAAAUGAGAGAAAUGCCAAUAACAGGGUAUGUAUGAUCAUGUCCAAGCAAACAGUUUUUCAAGUCUAGCUUAAGUGAUGAUAUCGUGCAAUGCAAGGUAGUAUCAAAGAGAUUACAAGGAUACAUGUCAUUGAGAGGAUUGGAUAAACCUGCUAUGUCACGCUCUUGUAUGACGAUGGGCAAAUGAAUUUCUGGUUCUUCAAGUUCCUCUACAGCAGCUUCUUUUACUUCUUCAAGAGUACUAGAUCUUUUGUCUUCAUCUUGAUCACUUGGGAAUUGCAGCUCUGGAUCAUCUUGUUCCUUGUCUUCAAAUAUUUCUUCUUGGAUCUGAAGUGUCUCUUCCUCUGGACUCUCGCUAUCUUGCUCAGCUGAAUGUGACGGUGUUGAAACCUCACACACGUCAAGGGAUAUCUGUGACGCCCCCGAUUUGACCGUACACUAAUCAUGCACGCAAAUGUGUACGACCAAGAUCAGGGACUCACGGGAAGAUAUCACAACACAACUCUACAACAUAAAUAAGUCAUACAAGCAUCAUAAUACAAGCCAGGGGCCUCGAGGGCUCGAAUACAAGUGCUCGAUCAUAGACGAGUCAGCGGAAGCAACAAUAUCUGAGUACAGACAUAAGUUAAACAAAUUUUGCCUUAAGAAGGCUAGCACAAAAGUAGCAACGAUCGAAAAGGCAAGGCCUCCUGCCUGGGACCUCCUAACUACUCCUGGUCGUCGUCAGCGGCCUGCACGUAGUAGUAGGCACCUCCAGUGCCGUGGGAGUCGUCGUCGACGGUGGCGUCUGGCUCCUGAACUCCAGCAUCUGGUUGCGACAAUCCGGUACAGAAAGGGGAAAAGAGGGAGAAAAGCAACCGUGAGUACUCAUCCAAAGUACUCGCAAGCAAGGAGCUACACUACAUAUGCAUGAGUAUAUGUGUAAAGGGGCAUAUCAGUGGACUGAACUGCAGAUUGCCAGAAUAAGAGGGGGAUAGCUAGUCCUGUCGAAGACUACGCUUCUGGACAUCUCCACCUUGCAGCAUGUAGAAGAGAAUAGAUUGAAUUCCUCCAAGUAGCAUCGUAUAGCAUAAUCCUACCCGGCGAUCCCCUCCUCGUCGCCCUGUUAGAGAGCGAUCACCGGGUUGUAUCUGGCACUUGGAAGGGUGUAUUUUACUCAGUAUCCAGUUCUAGUUGUCAUAAGCUCAAGGUACAACUCCGGGUCGUCCUUUUACCGAGGGACACGGCUAUUCGAAUAGAUAAACUUCCCUGCAGGGGUGCACCACAUAACCCAACACGCUCGAUCCCAAUUGGCCGGACACACUUUCCUAGGUCAUGCCCGGCCUCGUAAGAUCAACACGUCGCAGCCCCACCUAAGCACAACAGAGAGGUCAGCACGCCGGUCUAACCCUAUGCGCGCAGGGGUCUGGGCCCAUCGCCCUAUGCACACCUGCACGUUGCGUACGCGGCCGGAAGCAGACCUAGCCUAGUGGNNNNNNNNNNNNNNNNNNNNNNNNNNNNNNNNNNNNNNNNNNNNNNNNNNNNNNNNNNNNNNNNNNNNNNNNNNNNNNNNNNNNNNNNNNNNNNNNNNNNUUUGUUCUGUUUUCUGUUUUCUCUUUUUUGUUUAUUUCCUUUUCUGUUUUAUUUCAUUUAAAAGUAUUUAGACAUUUUAUAAAAAUGUGUUUUCUCCACCAUAAUUACCAGUGUAUUAUUUAGAACCCACUGAACAUUUCUGUUUGAAUUUUUGAAAACUUUUAUUUUCCACUUUGAUUAUAUUUGAAGUUUGAACUAGGAGUUUGACAAGGGUGUGGUUCAAAUGUGAUCAAGCCCUGUUUAGCAACAUGAUUAGCUUAAUCACAGGGGGUUACUGUAGCAUGAUUCCCAGGGUGUUACAAUAUCCCAGCAACACUCAACUCAAGGAGGGAAGAGAUAGUACUGCCAGCGUUGAUGUUCUUCUCAAUCUUCCUUACUUCUUCCACUAGCUCCUUUCCACUCUCAAUCUUCUUCAUUUCCUCAAGUAUCACCUUCCUAAUAGGAUCAUCCUUGGCACUCCAAGUGAACUCGAGACUCAAAAGUGUGAGCUUGUCUAUGUCAUCGAACUCAUCUUGUGUGGGCACUUGCACAUGAGAUUGCUCAGCAGUUGCUGGUUGACCAAAUGGAGGACCAUUUAACUCCAUUGGCAACAUCUCCUGGUGCUGAGGUAUAUGAAUAGGAGCAGAAUAAAAUUGUUGUGGAGCAUAAUUGUUGCUCUCCUCUUCAUACCUAAAUCCCUGCAUUGGAUAACUAGAGGCAAACGAUGAGAUCUCAGGGUUGUUGCUCCUAUAUGACAUAUUCUGGUUUUCAGGCCACCCAUAUGAGUAAUUGUUUUGGUAUGAGCUAGGGUGUGGGGCGAAGCUCAUGCCAUAACAAUCGGGAGGGUGAGAGUAACCACACUGACAUUCAGCGGGUGAAUGGCCCUGAAAUCCACAAAUAUGGCAUGUAGGAGCAACAUAAGGAUGACCUCUAGAAUAAGGAUCAUAAGAGCUAGGCCUAUCCUCAAAAACUACUUCUCGCUGCCGAGCUAAAUCAUCUAAUCAAUGGGAAAUCUUACUUAUCAGUUCUUGAAUACUUUCUGUGCUGUUUGUAGUGUUGCUCGCAUAAGCAUGAUGAUCUGAAUAGUAAGCCAUAUCUGAGAAGAUGCAAUAACCUGCAGAAUGACCAAGCAAAGAUAGAGAAAAUAACAUGAACAAGGGUUAGGGGUUAGAGAUAUAUCACAUAUAUAUAGCACAAAGGGAAAAACAAGAAAAACCUAGUCUAUAGCCAAACAAAAUCGCUAGACGCUAGUCCCCGGCAACGGCGCCAAAAUUAUCAAUCGUAACUACAAACUGCGAGUGUCGUGUUCUCCACAGGGACUAGGCGACGGCAACUACGUUCGACUAAAGCUAGGUGACCGAAUUGAAUGAUGAAAACAGAAAAUAAACCUAGCACCAACAAGGAUCAUCAACAAAGAAAAUGACAAAGAAGCAAAGGGAGAUGAAGAUUAUUUUUACUCUGUCUUUUUAGUAUUUUUGUAUUACUUGAGAAUCUACAAUACUAACACAAACAGGAGUCAAUAUCAAUUAAAGCUACAAGACAAGGACACAUCACUAUCAAACAUAAACAGAGGGAAGAAGCGAGAAUAUAUGACAAAAUAUAAUUGUUUCAAAUCAAACACACACACACAUUUAUAUAUCACAGGUACAUAGCUAAUACAGGGACUACAGAACACACAAAACCACACAUAUGCGAACAGGAUACUACACCACGGUUCAGGUUACACAAGUGACAACAGAAACGAAAUCUUACAAGCCACAAGAUUAGUACCCACAGAUCAACACGACAGUAUUUAACAACUAAAAAUUACUGGUAAAAAUUAACUAGUACAGCGAGAAGAAAUACACAGAGUGAACACACAUAUAUGCUGACAGAACACUAAUUACCAAAGCAACAAAAUAUUAC
rnacentral:lncRNA from 1 species